rnacentral:misc_RNA from 1 species
ACACCUCAACUCUCAUGGCUUGCCAUGAUGAGCUUGGACCAUGGGGGACUUGCUGGCCUGCAGUCGGCUCCCCUCAAAUGAAUCAGCUUGCCAGUGUUUGGUGGCGUCACAGGUGUGAUAACUAUCUACGCUUGUGGUUUUCCACCAGGUAACCUUCAGCAAUGAAGGUUCGCUGGAGCUCACAAAUGUCUUUCCUUUGUGAGGACAGAUUUUGACC